AUGUUGAAGGUUUUUGAGCAAUUUCACUCAUUUGUUAGGGGAGGUAUGGAGGCGAUCAAGAUGACAAUGUUUGCCCUUCAGCCAAAAUAGGUUGGAGGCACCAGGGUCAACGACUUUUGCCCGAUCAGUUUGAUCCACUCCGUCAAAUUGAUCGCAAAAGUGCUCUCCCUUAGGUUGUCCAAGGUCAUCGACAAGAUCAUCUCGCUGGCCCAGUCCGCUUUCCUCAAGACCAAGUGCAUCCAUGAUAGUUUUCUCUAUGUUAAAAACAUCAUUCAAGCUCUACGCCGAAGAAAAAAAUUGGCUCUUUUAUUAAAGUUGUUCAUUGCUAGGACUUUUGACUUCGUCUCCUAG
rnacentral:rRNA from 1 species